GAUGAACGCUGGCGGCGUGCUUAACACAUGCAAGUCGAACGGAAAGGCCCAAGCUUGCUUGGGUACUCGAGUGGCGAACGGGUGAGUAACACGUGGGUGAUCUGCCCUGCACUUCGGGAUAAGCCUGGGAAACUGGGUCUAAUACCGGAUAGGACCACAUUUUGGAUGGUGUGGUGGAAAGUUUUUCGGUGUGGGAUGAGCUCGCGGCCUAUCAGCUUGUUGGUGGGGUAAUGGCCUACCAAGGCGUCGACGGGUAGCCGGCCUGAGAGGGUGUACGGCCACAUUGGGACUGGGAUACGGCCCAGACUCCUACGGGAGGCAGCAGUGGGGAAUAUUGCACAAUGGGCGCAAGCCUGAUGCAGCGACGCCGCGUGGGGGAUGACGGCCUUCGGGUUGUAAACGCCUUGCGCUAGGGACGAAGCUUUAUGUGACGGUACCUGGGGAAGAAGCACCGGCUAACUACGUG
rnacentral:rRNA from 1 species